rnacentral:rRNA from 1 species
GCGAAUGGAUUAAGAGCUUGCUCUUAUGAAGUUAGCGGCGGACGGGUGAGUAACACGUGGGUAACCUGCCCAUAAGACUGGGAUAACUCCGGGAAACCGGGGCUAAUACCGGAUAACAUUUUGAACCGCAUGGUUCGAAAUUGAAAGGCGGCUUCGGCUGUCACUUAUGGAUGGACCCGCGUCGCAUUAGCUAGUUGGUGAGGUAACGGCUCACCAAGGCAACGAUGCGUAGCCGACCUGAGAGGGUGAUCGGCCACACUGGGACUGAGACACGGCCCAGACUCCUACGGGAGGCAGCAGUAGGGAAUCUUCCGCAAUGGACGAAAGUCUGACGGAGCAACGCCGCGUGAGUGAUGAAGGCUUUCGGGUCGUAAAACUCUGUUGUUAGGGAAGAACAAGUGCUAGUUGAAUAAGCUGGCACCUUGACGGUACCUAACCAGAAAGCCACGGCUAACUACGUGCCAGCAGCCGCGGUAAUACGUAGGUGGCAAGCGUUAUCCGGAAUUAUUGGGCGUAAAGCGCGCGCAGGUGGUUUCUUAAGUCUGAUGUGAAAGCCCACGGCUCAACCGUGGAGGGUCAUUGGAAACUGGGAGACUUGAGUGCAGAAGAGGAAAGUGGAAUUCCAUGUGUAGCGGUGAAAUGCGUAGAGAUAUGGAGGAACACCAGUGG